AGCCUUCCAAUUUUUCAUCUUUUGUACCUUCACACUAAUGGCAAAUAAGAAUUAAUGGAUAAAGAAGACAAAAUGGAAAAUCAUAAAAUAUGACCGUUGGUGUGUCUUCAGCAAGUAGAAGGGUAAAUUAAUGAAGCAAGUCACUAAAAAUUGCAUGUUCUAUUAACUAAUGAGAUGACCACAAAGAGAAGAAAAUUCAAUAGCUAAGGGAAAGCGACAUCUAUUUAUUGGUCAUGAACUUAAUCAGCCUUGGGAUAUGGAAGAAGGAUUGAAAAACACCAGUCACAGCCAUGUUCUUUUUGUAUGAAAGGCAGACAAGAAAACGCAUGACCUAAAGCCAACAUAAGAGAGUCGAGUAUGAGGGUACAUUUGUGAUCUCAAAG
rnacentral:lncRNA from 1 species